rnacentral:misc_RNA from 1 species
GAAAGAAGGGAAAAUGGACAUUUGUGGUGAACCAGAGUAUGUAAGAGCUUGUUGUGAAGCUAGCUUGAAGCGACUAGAUAUCGACUGCAUCGAUCUUUAUUAUGUUCAUCGGAUUGAUAUUCGAGUGCCUAUUGAAAUCACGAUGGGAGAACUGAAGAAAUUUGUUGAAGAGGGUAAAAUCAAAUAUAUAGGUUUAUCUGAGGCUUGCGCAGCAACAAUCAGAAGGGCACACGCGGUGCAUCCAAUAACAGCU